rnacentral:rRNA from 1 species
UACGUAGGGGGCUAGCGUUGUCCGGAAUCAUUGGGCGUAAAGAGCGCGUAGGCGGCCAGAUAAGUCCGGUGUGAAAGUCGAAAGGCUCAACCUUUGAAUGCCGCUGGAAACUGUCUGGCUAGAGUCCGGGAGGGGCGAGUGGAAUUCCUGGUGUAGCGGUGAAAUGCGCAGAUAUCAGGAGGAACACCAAUGGCGAAGGCAGCUCGCUGGAACGGUACUGACGCUGAGGCGCGAAAGCGUGGGGAGCGAACAGG